AUUGAACGCUGGCGGCAUGCUUUACACAUGCAAGUCGAACGGUAACAGGCCUUCGGGUGCUGACGAGUGGCGAACGGGUGAGUAAUGCAUCGGAACGUACCCAGAGGUGGGGGAUAACGCAGCGAAAGCUGUGCUAAUACCGCAUGUGAUCUGAGGAUGAAAGCGGGGGACCGAGCAGCAAUGUUUGGCCUCGCGCCUUUGGAGCGGCCGAUGUCGGAUUAGCUAGUUGGUGGGGUAAAGGCCUACCAAGGCGACGAUCCGUAGCUGGUCUGAGAGGACGACCAGCCACACUGGGACUGAGACACGGCCCAGACUCCUACGGGAGGCAGCAGUGGGGAAUUUUGGACAAUGGGCGCAAGCCUGAUCCAGCAAAGCCGCGUGCGGGAAGAAGGCCUUCGGGUUGUAAACCGCUUUUGGCAGGAACGAAACGGUGUCCGCUAAUACCGGGCGCUAAUGACGGUACCUGCAGAAUAAGCACCGGCUAACUACGUG
rnacentral:rRNA from 1 species